rnacentral:rRNA from 1 species
UGCAAGUCGAACGAACUCUGGUAUUGAUUGGUGCUUGCAUCAUGAUUUACAUUUGAGUGAGUGGCGAACUGGUGAGUAACACGUGGGAAACCUGCCCAGAAGCGGGGGAUAACACCUGGAAACAGAUGCUAAUACCGCAUAACAACUUGGACCGCAUGGUCCGAGCUUGAAAGAUGGCUUCGGCUAUCACUUUUGGAUGGUCCCGCGGCGUAUUAGCUAGAUGGUGGGGUAACGGCUCACCAUGGCAAUGAUACGUAGCCGACCUGAGAGGGUAAUCGGCCACAUUGGGACUGAGACACGGCCCAAACUCCUACGGGAGGCAGCAGUAGGGAAUYUUCCACAAUGGACGAAAGUYUGAUGGAGCAACGCCGCGUGAGUGAAGAAGGGUUUCGGCUCGUAAAACUCUGUUGUUAAAGAAGAACAUAUCUGAGAGUAACUGUUCAGGUAUUGACGGUAUUUAACCAGAAAGCCACGGCUAACUACGUGCCAGCAGCCGCGGUAAUACGUAGGUGGCAAGCGUUGUCCGGAUUUAUUGGGCGUAAAGCGAGCGCAGGCGGUUUUUUAAGUCUGAUGUGAAAGCCUUCGGCUCAACCGAAGAAGUGCAUCGGAAACUGGGAAACUUGAGUGCAGAAGAGGACAGUGGAACUCCAUGUGUAGCGGUGAAAUGCGUAGAUAUAUGGAAGAACACCAGUGGCGAAGGCGGCUGUCUGGUCUGUAACUGACGCUGAGGCUCGAAAGUAUGGGUAGCAAACAGGAUUAGAUACCCUGGUAGUCCAUACCGUAAACGAUGAAUGCUAAGUGUUGGAGGGUUUCCGCCCUUCAGUGCUGCAGCUAACGCAUUAAGCAUUCCGCCUGGGGAGUACGGCCGCAAGGCUGAAACUCAAAGGAAUUGACGGGGGCCCGCACAAGCGGUGGAGCAUGUGGUUUAAUUCGAAGCUACGCGAAGAACCUUACCAGGUCUUGACAUACUAUGCAAAUCUAAGAGAUUAGACGUUCCCUUCGGGGACAUGGAUACAGGUGGUGCAUGGUUGUCGUCAGCUCGUGUCGUGAGAUGUUGGGUUAAGUCCCGCAACGAGCGCAACCCUUAUUAUCAGUUGCCAGCAUUAAGUUGGGCACUCUGGUGAGACUGCCGGUGACAAACCGGAGGAAGGUGGGGAUGACGUCAAAUCAUCAUGCCCCUUAUGACCUGGGCUACACACGUGCUACAAUGGAUGGUACAACGAGUUGCGAACUCGCGAGAGUAAGCUAAUCUCUUAAAGCCAUUCUCAGUUCGGAUUGUAGGCUGCAACUCGCCUACAUGAAGUCGGAAUCGCUAGUAAUCGCGGAUCAGCAUGCCGCGGUGAAUACGUUCCCGGGCCUUGUACACACCGCCCGUCACACCAGGAGAGUUUGUAACACCCAAAGUCGGUGGGGUAACCUUUUAGGAACCAGCCGCCUAAGGU